GUCAUAUCAUUUAAAAACACUGGUUCUCGUACGAUCACAAAAGUUAAGCAACAUUGAGCUCGGUCAAUACCUAGAUGGAUGACCGCUUGGGAAUACUAAAUGCUGUAAG